rfam:Lentisphaera araneosa HTCC2155 1101329224572, whole genome shotgun sequence.
CCCAAGGCUCACGCCUUUGGGCUAUUUUAUACCAUGCCUUCAGCAUU